AUAUCCUGCCCAUUGUAGCCUAGUGGAAACUACAGUCUAUAUAAAUAUUUUCUCCAGUAAUAUGUUUGUCAUACUUUUGGUCACAGUGUUGAUGAACUGACUACAUUGCAAAUAGCAUCCAAAAGGCUAUUGGAGACAUGAUUAAAAUAAAAAGAAGAAUUCCAAGCGAAGUGAGGAGACGUAGCCUCACUUUACAUGCCCAGGACAUAUGAUUCUUUUGUGCCCAUCCUAGCUACUUCAGGCAAGUGCAAGGAACAGGAGCUUGUGACACUGGAGAGUGAGUAAUUCUUGUCACUCAACUAGAUGUACCAAUGAUAACCAGGUUUCCUGAUUGGGUUACAAAUGCAAUCUGAGAAUCAUCACAAUGUCAAACAUCUAUUUUUCUGAUUAAUAUUAGCUUCAGCCAUGAGCGUCAUGUGGGCCUGAGUGGCGACCUGACAGUUGUACCAUACCAUAGGUUACAACCAGCCAAGAGGGAGCAGGAUUUAAAGCAACAAGGGAGAAACAAAACUAUACAAUCGAAUCCAAAAUAA
rnacentral:lncRNA from 1 species